rnacentral:rRNA from 1 species
AUGGAUUUAAAUCCUAAGGUACCAUACUGGAACAUGCGGGGAUUGAACAACCCUGCAAAGAAGAAAGCGGUUAGGGAAUUCAUUACCUCGGCGAGGGUGAAUCUUGUGUGCUUACAAGAAACAAAACUUGAUGUAGUUGAUCGUUUCCUUGUGAUGCAAUGUAUCGGACCAUCUUCAGAUGGCUUUGACUAUUUACCGGCUUGUGAUACUCGCGGUGGGAUCAUUUUGGCUUGGGACACUACGGUGAUGCAGGUGGAUAACAUAAGCCGUGACACAAACUUCAUGAUAGGUCUAGUGCACAAUAAGGAUGGAUCGUCUUGGUGGGUAACGGUGGUCUAUGGACCGCAAGGGGAUGAUCUUAAACCGCAAUUCCUCGUGGACUUGCAACAACGGAGGGCCACUUGUCCAUGGCCAUGGAUGGUGCUCGGCGACUUCAACAGGAUCACUAAUGCCGCGGAUAAAAAUAACAGUAACCUGAACCACCACAUCAUGAGAAAAUUCAGGGAGUUCAUAGAAGACAAUGAGCUCAAAGAGCUUUACAUGCAUGGAAGGAGGUUUACUUGGACCAAUGAGAGGGAUGCACCUGUGAUGACCAAGAUUGAUAGAGUACUAGUGGCUGUGGAUUGGGAGCUCAUGUUUACGGACAACCUGCUCCAAGCCUUGUCGACAAAUGUGUCGGAUCAUGCACCAUUACAUGUACCCAUGAUACGUCUCCGUCGUAUCUAUAAUUUUUGA